rnacentral:rRNA from 1 species
GACGAACGCUGGCGGCGUGCUUAACACAUGCAAGUCGAACGGAAAGGCCCUGCUUUUGUGGGGUGCUCGAGUGGCGAACGGGUGAGUAACACGUGAGUAACCUGCCCUUGACUUUGGGAUAACUUCAGGAAACUGGGGCUAAUACCGGAUAGGAGCUCCUGCUGCAUGGUGUGGGUUGGAAAGUUUCGGCGGUUGGGGAUGGACUCGCGGCUUAUCAGCUUGUUGGUGGGGUAGUGGCUUACCAAGGCUUUGACGGGUAGCCGGCCUGAGAGGGUGACCGGCCACAGUGGGACUGAGAUACGGCCCAGAGUCCUACGGGAGGAAGCAGUGGGGAAUAUUGCACAAUGGGCGGAAGCCUGAUGCAGCAACGCCGCGUGCGGGAUGACGGCCUUCGGGUUGUAAACCGCUUUCGCCUGUGACGAAGCGUGAGUGACGGUAAUGGGUAAAGAAGCACCGGCUAACUACGUG